UGCUCGGACCCCCGUUCCACUCACGCCCCUCAUCGCUCGCUGGAGCACCUGCGUCCGCUCCGACAUCACACUGAGUCCUUACCGUCCUCCCCUGGUCCGGUUGCCGCGUCCGGUGCGAUUCUUCGGGUCGUGGUCUCGCUGCUCUUCAAUCUCCUCGUGGGUCGUCCGACCAUCUCUUACUAAAUAAACUGUUAAACUGA